UGUAAGGGUAGGUGGCUUGCGGUGGAAGAUAGCAGCAAGAUAGCAGGUUGGGCAGGCAAAUCAAACCACGUCUUGAACCUUUAUUCAAAUGUGAAAGAGGAGCUAGUAGGCAGCCAACAGAGCCAGGACAUACAUUUGGACAGGCUUUUUCUCGUAACGAUUGUGAUCGGGCUCAGAGAGAUGAUUACGAACUUCAAAAUUGCCAAGCCUGUGCCUUUCACAACAUGAACGAACUCCCAUCACCUCUCUCGCAGAUCUCGCUGAAUAACGAUGUGCUGUGUCAUCGAAGCAUCACCCAGGUGGGUGCUGCAUUUCAGUAGUGGACGAUCCAGCCUACCUACAGAAGAGGGACUGCGAACAUUGAAGACGACAAGGUACCCGAUGAAGAACUCUGUGGCCUGUUUGUCAGAUGUUUCUAACUCUAACUCCAUAUAUGCUCCCUCCGCUCAAGAUACUACCUUUUCGAACUGCCUACCUUCUAAAGCUGUGGAAGGCCAUCACCGAAGAACUGCCAGAUCAAAAUUACUUAGAUUCUACUUGUAAUGAAAAGUGCUAUAUAGAACAAGUCUAUUAUUAUUUAUACUGUACAAGUAGUGUCAUCGGGGUAUGGGCUGGGCAUCUGAAAGAGUGCAAUUAACCAAUCAAUCAAUCGUUUUCAUUUGACCAUGACAAAAUGUUUCCGCAAACAUAUUGCCUUGAACAUUCCCUCGCAAAGUUACCUCUACCUGAGAACCAACCAAAAUGUUCAAGGAACAUUUCUCGAUAGCUAAAGACUGAGCCACAGAGACUCUUUACUUGUCCCCCCUCUGGGCCUGAAAUGCUUAAACAGGAGUCGCAGGUUGUUCCGAGACACAGCGGGCUUUUUAGUCGGGGUAAAUAAUAUCAACAAUGAAAAUUCAUCUGGUGUUGCGUUCCUCUCCACUCGCACCGAGGGGGUGUAAAAUUGGUUUCGGAGAUAAAUUAGUGCUGUUAAUUUGCAGGAAAAACCUGCGGGAGAGAACUGAAUGAGAGAGUUGGGGAAGGUAAAGCGAAGAAGCGAGAGUCGGGCAUAGGAGGGAUGUGUGACACCUUCAGUGGCGAAGAAACACACAUCUGCUCGACGGGGUCUUUGUGUCACAAGGAUUGCACAUUCCUGAGGGGUAUAAUUUCGAGAGAGCGGGGGAUGAGUGGAAAGGAGGUGUGACGGUAUGUGUGACUGUGUGUGGUGUGUAUAUUCAUUUACUAUGACUAUACAUGAGUAGAAUGGAGAACAUUCAUGCGUAGAAAUGAAGACUUUCUAUAUGAAUGAGAAGGCAUGUGUAAAAUGUGUGUUUGCGUGUGAGAGUGUAUUUAAAUAAAACCCACUCCUAUAAAUCAAGCCAGCACUGUGUUUAUGGUAAAAUGGUAGUAAAGUGGUCUUGAGUUGUGUUUUACAUUAGUCAAAUGUGAGGAGAGAC